rnacentral:rRNA from 1 species
UACGGAGGGGGCUAGCGUUGUUCGGAAUUACUGGGCGUAAAGCGCACGUAGGCGGCUUUGUAAGUUAGAGGUGAAAGCCCGGAGCUCAACUCCGGAACUGCCUUUAAGACUGCAUCGCUAGAAUUGUGGAGAGGUGAGUGGAAUUCCGAGUGUAGAGGUGAAAUUCGUAGAUAUUCGCAAGAACACCAGUGGCGAAGGCGGCUCACUGGCCCGGUACUGACGCUGAGGUGCGAAAGCGUGGGGAGCAAACAGG